GGCCUGAUGGUCUAGGAGUAUGAUUCGUUGUUAGGGUUAGCCAGAUUCCAUACCAUUCUUUCGACGAGGUCCCGGGUUCAAUUCCCGGUCAGGCCC